rnacentral:rRNA from 1 species
AGUUAUAUGCUUGUCUCAAAGAUUAAGCCAUGCAUGUCUAAGUACACACGAAUUAAAAGUGAAACCGCAAAAGGCUCAUUAUAUCAGUUAUGGUUCCUUAGAUCGUUAACAGUUACUUGGAUAACUGUGGUAAUUCUAGAGCUAAUACAUGCAAUAUAAACACGGACCUUUGGGACGUGUGCUUUUAUUAGGCUAAAACCAAGCGAUCGCAAGAUCGUUACUAUGGUUGAACUCUAGAUAACUUGCAGAUCGUAUGGUCUCGUACCGACGACAGAUCUUUCAAAUGUCUGCCCUAUCAACUUUUGAUGGUAGUAUCUAGGACUACCAUGGUUGCAACGGGUAACGGGGAAUCAGGGUUCGAUUCCGGAGAGGGAGCCUGAGAAACGGCUACCACAUCUAAGGAAGGCAGCAGGCGCGUAAAUUACCCACUCCCAGCUCGGGGAGGUAGUGACGAAAAAUAACAAUACAGGACUCAUAUUAGAGGCCCUGUAAUUGGAAUGAGUACACUUUAAAUCCCUUAACAAGGACCUAUUGGAGGGCAAGUCUGGUGCCAGCAGCCGCGGUAACUCCAGCUCCAAUAGCGUAUAUUAAAGUUGUUGCGGUUAAAACGUUCGUAGUUGAACUUGUGCUUCAUACGGGUAGUACAGCUAUAAUUGUAGUUUGUACUAUACCUUAUGUAUGUAAGCGUAUUACCGGUGGAGUUCUUAUAUGUAUUAAGUACUUGUAUUUAUGCAUGUUCCUCCUAUUUAAACCUGCUUCAGUGCUCUUCAUCGAGUGUUGUUGUGGGCCGGUACAAUUACUUUGAACAAAUUAGAGUGCUUAAAGCAGGCUCCAAAUGCCUGAAUAUUUUGUGCAUGGAAUAAUGAAAUAAGACCUCUGUUCUACUUUCAUUGGUUGUUAGAUCAAGAGG